rnacentral:rRNA from 1 species
UACGUAGGGGGCAAGCGUUGUCCGGAUUUACUGGGCGUAAAGAGCGCGCAGGCGGUCGUUCAAGUCGGGUGUGAAAGCCCCCGGCUCAACUGGGGAGGGUCACUCGAUACUGAUCGACUUGAAGGCAGGAGAGGGAAGCGGAAUUCCCGGUGUAGUGGUGAAAUGCGUAGAUAUCGGGAGGAACACCAGUGGCGAAGGCGGCUUCCUGGCCUGUUCUUGACGCUGAGGCGCGAAAGCUAGGGGAGCAAACGGG